rnacentral:lncRNA from 1 species
CUUAAAGUAACUUAAAAUGUAAAAAAAAGUCAGGCCAAACGGACCAUUGUAUCAUUAAAUAUUGAGUUUCUAUAUUAAGGUAUCUUAACAUAACACAUGUUAACACGGAGUUCAGAUAUGCUCCAUUGCCUUUCCAUUACCUUGCUCAAAUCGUGACACGUGGAUAAAACCUAAUAAAUGGUCCAGAUUAAGACUCAGUAAAAUAGUUUCUUU